UACAGAGGUCCCAAGCGUUGUUCGGAUUCACUGGGCGUAAAGGGUGCGUAGGCGGUCGGGUAAGUCUGAUGUGAAAUCUCACAGCUUAACUGUGAAACUGCAUUGGAUACUAUCCGGCUCGAGGAAUGGAGGGGAGACUGGAAUACUUGGUGUAGCAGUGAAAUGCGUAGAUAUCGGGAGGAACACCAGUGGCGAAGGCGACUACCUGGCCUGUUCUUGACGCUGAGGCGCGAAAGCUAGGGGAGCAAACGGG
rnacentral:rRNA from 1 species